rnacentral:rRNA from 1 species
AAUCAACGCUGGCGGCGUGCCUCAGACAUGCAAGUCGAACGCGAAAGUCCCCUUCGGGGGAUGAGUAGAGUGGCGUCCGGGUGAGUAACACGUAGGUAAUCUACCUUUGGGUGGGGAAUAACCCCGAGAAAUCGGGGCUAAUACCGCAUAAUGCAGCGGCACCACAUGGUGACAGUUGUUAAAGCGGGGGAUCGCAAGACCUCGCGCCUAAAGAGGAGCCUGCGGCGGAUUAGCAGUUGGUAGGGUAACGGCCUACCAAGGCAACGAUCCGUAGCCGGCCUGAGAGGGCGGUCGGCCACACUGACACUGAAAUACGGGUCAGACUCCUACGGGAGGCAGCAGUCGGGAAUUUUGGGCAAUGGGCGAAAGCCUGACCCAGCAACGCCGCGUGAAGGAUGAAGUAUUUCGGUAUGUAAACUU